rnacentral:rRNA from 1 species
ACCUCACCAGGUCCAGACAGAGUAAGGAUUGACAGAUUGAUAGCUCUUUCUUGAUUCUUUGGGUGGUGGUGCAUGGCCGUUCUUAGUUGGUGGAGUGAUUUGUCUGGUUAAUUCCGUUAACGAACGAGACCUUAACCUGCUAUCUAGUCUGCUCUGGUAUUUUGUCCUCGCGCGCUUCUUAGAGGGACUCCGGUGCUUCAAGCUUGGGGGAAGUUUAAGGCAAUAACAGGUCUGUGAUGCCCUUAGAUGUCCUGGGCUGCACGCGCGCUACACUGAUGCUUGCCUCGUGUUUGUCCUGUCCCGAUAGGGUUGGGUAAUCUCUAGUGUGCAUCGUGUCGGGGAUUGAUUUUUGCAAUUCUAAAUCAUGAACGAGGAAUGCCUAGUAUGCGCAAGUCAUCAGCUUGUGCAGAUUACGUCCCUGCCCUUUGUACACACCCCCCGUCCCUCCUCCCUAUCGAGUGAGUCAGUCAAUUAUAUUAUACCCAGCCUUUUCCUACUCAUCCGUCUUUCCUGCCGAAG